UACGUAGGGGGCAAGCGUUGUCCGGAAUCAUUGGGCGUAAAGCGCGUGUAGGCGGCCCGGUAAGUCCGCUGUGAAAGUCGGGGGCUCAACCCUCGGAUGCCGGUGGAUACUGUCGGGCUAGAGUGCGGAAGAGGCGAGUGGAAUUCCUGGUGUAGCGGUGAAAUGCGCAGAUAUCAGGAAGAACACCCGUGGCGAAGGCGGCUCUCUGGGACGGUACUGACGCUGAGACGCGAAAGCGUGGGGAGCGAACAGG
rnacentral:rRNA from 1 species